rnacentral:rRNA from 1 species
UACGAAGGGGGCUAGCGUUGUUCGGAAUUACUGGGCGUAAAGCGCACGUAGGCGGACAUUUAAGUCAGGGGGUGAAAUCCCAGAGCUCAACUCUGGAACUGCCUUUGAUACUGGGUGUCUUGAGUAUGGAAGAGGUGAGUGGAAUUCCGAGUGUAGCGGUGAAAUGCGUAGAGAUCGGGAGGAACACCAGUGGCGAAGGCGGCUCACUGGACCGGUACUGACGCUGAUGCGCGAAAGCGUGGGGAGCAAACGGG